GACCACUUAGCUCAGUUGGCAGAGCAUUGGACUAGUAUCCCAAAGAUCGCGGGUUCGAUUCCCACCGUGGCCA
rnacentral:tRNA from 1 species